AUACUUACCUGGCAGGGGAGACACCAUGAUCACGAAGGUGGUUUACCCAGGGUGAGGCUUAGCCAUUGCACUUGGGCGACGCUGACCUCUGCGAAUUCUCCAAUCGCAGUCAUCUCGAUUGCAUAAUGUGUGGCGGUGGGGGACUGUGUUUGCCCUCUCUCCUG